GAUUAAGUUAUACAAUGAUGUAUAAUGGGCUUUUGACAAAUCCUCAAACUACCAUUUCCUUCCAAACAGAAAUCUCAGAAACUUCCUAUGCUGUGGUCUUUACUUUCAACGUGAUUAACAUCAGCAUGCCAGAGGACCCUGUGUCUAGAGGCAAAAACCACCCAGCAAGUGCAAGAUACCAUCAAUAAUGCGGUAAACUAAAAAAAUAAUAAACAGUAUAAUAUGUCUUAGGUUCAAUGCCAGUCUUCUCCAGAAGCUUAUAAUGGUUGAUUUUCCCUUUCAGCUGAACACUCUUCUGAAUGAACCUGGCAGUCCAACUUUACAACCCAAGACCGCCAACUUCACGAUCACUUCAAACCAGAUUGAUGGCAAGAUGGAAUACAGCUUCCAGGAUGGAGAUGUCAUACAACCAGUCAGCUUCCUCAAUGAGCUACGUCAACCAACCACUACAACAGUGUUUCCAGAAACAACAGCCAGUGUUUCUGUUACUACUCCCAACCUCAUGUAAAAUUUGUUUUUUCUAUUUUUUAGAGAAAUCAUAAAUGUACAAGUCAUAAUUUCAAUAGAAAAAAUGGAUGUACAUUAAACAAAGUGGUUAUAUUUACAGAUCUGGUUCAGCAGUGGUCACAAGCAAGCUGGUGUUCAACUCCUCAUCUCCAGUGCCCAGUGAAUCUCUGGUCCUCAGUGCUAUCAAUACUCUCCGUCAUUCCAGAGAGUCACAGCUCAAUGAAUCGGUGAAGGUGCUGAAUGUCACCUAUGAGAAAAUCUCAGAAACUUCCUAUGCUGUGGUCUUUACUUUCAACGUGAUUAACAUCAGCAUGCCAGAGGACCCUGUGUCUAGAGGCAAAACCACCCAGCAAGUGCAAGAUACCAUCAAUAAUGCGCUGAACACUCUUCUGAAUGAACCUGGCAGUCCAACUUUACAACCCAAGACCGCCAACUUCACGAUCACUUCAAACCAGAUUGAUGGCAAGAUGGAAUACAGCUUCCAGGAUGGAGAUGUCAUACAACCAGUCAGCUUCCUCAAUGAGCUACGUCAACCAACCACUACAACAGUGUUUCCAGAAACAACAGCCAGUGUUUCUGUUACUACUCCCAACCUCAUAUCUGGUUCAGCAGUGGUCACAAGCAAGCUGGUGUUCAACUCCUUAUCUCCAGUGCCCAGUGAAUCUCUGGUCCUCAGUGCUAUCAAUACUCUCCGUCAUUCCAGAGAGUCACAGCUCAAUGAAUCGGUGAAGGUGCUGAAUAUCACCUAUGAGAGUAAGUGUCAUAAUUUUCCCUUCAAAAGAUUUUAA
rnacentral:lncRNA from 1 species